rnacentral:rRNA from 1 species
AGCAGCCGCGGUAAUUCCAGCUCCAAUAGCGUAUAUUAAAGUUGUUGCAGUUAAAAAGCUCGUAGUUGAAUUUCGGGAUCAUCAGGUUGGUCGUGCCACUGGUAUGUACUUGCCUUGAUGGUUCCUCCCUCUUGAAGAACCGUAAUGUCAUUAAUUUGGUGUUGCGGGGAAUCAGGACUGUUACUUUGAAAAAAUUAGAGUGUUUAAAGCAGGCAAUCGCUUGAAUACAUUAGCAUGGAAUAAUGAAAUAGGACGUUUGACCCUAUUUUGUUGGUUUU